CAGGCUUAACACAUGCAAGUCGAGGGGCAGCAUUUUAGUUUGCUUGCAAACUAAAGAUGGCGACCGGCGCACGGGUGAGUAACACGUAUCCAACCUGCCGAUAACUCGGGGAUAGCCUCUCGAAAGAAAGAUUAAUAUCCGAUGGUAUAUUAAAACCGCAUGGUUUUACUAUUAAAGAAUUUCGGUUAUCGAUGGGGAUGCGUUCCAUUAGUUUGUUGGCGGGGUAACGGCCCACCAAGACUACGAUGGAUAGGGGUUCUGAGAGGAAGGUCCCCCACAUUGGAACUGAGACACGGUCCAAACUCCUACGGGAGGCAGCAGUGAGGAAUAUUGGUCAAUGGACGAGAGUCUGAACCAGCCAAGUAGCGUGAAGGAUGACUGCCCUAUGGGUUGUAAACUUCUUUUAUAUGGGAAUAAAGUAUUCCACGUGUGGGAUUUUGUAUGUACCAUAUGAAUAAGGAUCGGCUAACUCCGUGCCAGCAGCCGCGGUAAUACGGAGGAUCCGAGCGUUAUCCGGAUUUAUUGGGUUUAAAGGGAGCGUAGGUGGAUUGUUAAGUCAGUUGUGAAAGUUUGCGGCUCAACCGUAAAAUUGCAGUUGAAACUGGCAGUCUUGAGUACAGUAGAGGUGGGCGGAAUUCGUGGUGUAGCGGUGAAAUGCUUAGAUAUCACGAAGAA
rnacentral:rRNA from 1 species